rnacentral:lncRNA from 1 species
UGAACUUCUCCUUGCGCGCUUCCGGUGAGCUCUUGGCAAUAGCUACAAUGGUCUUCGGCGCUGGAUCUAAUCGGCACGUGGCUGCGUUUCGCGACUUCCAGCGUGAUCUCCGUCCAGCAGCUUAACGCACGAUACUUUUCUCCUCUGCAUUGUCUUCUCCACUUCUUUUUCUUCUUCUCUCUUUCUCCUUCUCUUUUCUUAUUCUUAUUCUUCUUCCUUUUUUUUGAAAUCCCUAAUGGGUUUCAUUGUGCCCAUG